ensembl:lncRNA
GACACUGGGGUCUACUUGACGGUGAAGGAUGGAAGGAAGGAGAGGAUCAGAAACUACCUUUGGGGUACUAGGCUUAUUACCUGGGUGAUGAAAUAAUCUGUACACCCCCAUGACACAAAAUUUACCUGUAUAACAAACCUGAACAUGUACCCUUGAACCUAAAAUAAAAGUUAAAUAAAAAAUUUAAAUAAAUACAAACAGAACAAAACCAGAUAAUUCCAGAACUUUUUUAUUGUACACAAAAAUCUAAAUUUCUUAACAUGGAAACCAAAGGUCUACAAAAUGUACUCUCCUAGCUUAGGAUCAUUAUUUAUUCCUCUUAUUUUUGGAAUCUAUUCUUUUAUUCAAGGACCAGCUCAAAGGUCAGCUUUUAGUUAACUCUUAUAUCCCCAUACACACAUACCCUAAAGGCAGAGUUAACUGCUGUAUCCAAGCUACUUCUUGGCAUAUCCUUGUCAGCCUAAAUAACAGAGAGGCAGACUCUCUGAAAGAAAAUGAUGUUUAUUCAGGAAUGGCAUUGCAAUGAGAAUACAAGUGCCACAGUAAACUAUGUGCAUAUUCAGGGAGGUAAAGGAAGACAAUGGUUUUUAAAGCAAAAAUGAUUGUUUUGAGAGAAUUAUCCUUGGCUACAAGGAUCAAUAACAAGGAUGUUGCCUUUUGGACAUUGGACAGGCAGUUGCUGGGCAAAUGUCCUCAUAGAAGUACUUUUUGUGUGUCAGGUUGUGAUGGCCUUUGUGCAAGGUGUGGUUUUGUGCAGUCUUUUAUGAUAAUCCUCAUUCUCAGGCAUCUGUGCAUGAAAAUCCUCCUUUCAUGGCCUUCCCCAGCUCUAUUUGUUAGGAUUUUUAACACAAUGACUACAACUUGAUUUUGACAACUUUCACAUCCUGUUAGUGGGCUCACACUAUUAGUUGCUCAUCUCAAAAGAUGGAGUUCUUUAGGGGCAGGAACCUGCAACUCACCUUGUGCUCCUCAGAGUACAUGGCCCAAUAUCCCAAGGCCCUUAACACGCUUGUCAUUAUUUCAGAUUUAUACUAUGUGGUGUGUUAAUUACUGCACCCAAUGAAACUUGCUGUCCAGCAGCUCACUCUGUUCCUAGGGUUCAUGUUAUGCAACAUAAAGUAAACAGCAUCACAGAUGAAGUUAUCUUAUUUUUUUAAAAAAUCUAAUCAAACUGCUUGACCUAACCUCCAGUCUACAGGAAAUUUAGGAGAUUGAGGAACAAAUUACGUGAUGUCAUUAGGAAAAUGUCAGACAAUUCAAAAAUGUAGGUGAGACACUCUAAAGCAAAACUAGCUUGGACUCUUCACAAAAUUGUCAUGGGAAAUUAGUUGGUACCACCAAGUCUGGAAAACAGCUUGGCAAUUUCUUUAAAAACUAAAUAUGUAACUACAUACAACCCAUCAAUUUCACUCCUGGGCAUUUAUCUCAGAGAAAUGAAAACUUAAUGUUCACACAAAAACUUGUACAUGAAUGUUCACAGCAGCAUUAUUCAGACUGGAAUGAGCCCAGAUAUCCUUCAAUAAGUCAACGAGUUAAACCAAACAGUAAAAGGAAAUGAACUAUUGAUACACACAACAGCUGAGAUGACUCAGAAAAAAAGAGAUGAACAGAAAGUCAAUCCCAUAAAAUUACAUACUGUAUGAUUCAAUUUAUAACAUUAUUGAAAUGACAGAGUUUUAGAAACUGAGCUUUUUGUACCUGGCCAAGGGCUUUGAUCAGCAAGGUGCCCCUGUGCUGUCUACCCAGGGCAGUGCCUCACCAGAUUGGCAAUAAAAGUAUUUUAAGUCAGUGAGUAAUGAGAAAC